rnacentral:rRNA from 1 species
AACUCUUAGCGGUGGAUCACUCGGCUCGUGCUGAGUCGAGUGAGAACGACAGCUAGCUGCGAGAAUUUAAUGUGAAUUGCAGGACACAUUUGAUCAUCGGACACUUCGAACGCGCCACUUGCGGCCCCGGGUUCUCCCGGGGCUUACGGCUGUCUGAGGCGUCG